GGGGCUGUAAAUGGCUGCGAAACUCAUCAUCGUCCCAAAAGCUUCCUCGCGUCGUUCUUAUUCAAGACUCGAGACAGGAGUGCGUGUGCGACGUGCCGUACGGAGGAAAAGUUACUUCUCAUUGCUGAGGCUUCCGGCUGCAGACGAUGAACAAAGAUGAGCAUCUCUGGGACUUUUCCCAGUGGGCUGGUCCACCAGAUUUGCAUAGACAUCGUGAUAUUCCCAGAGACACAACAGCAACGCCUCGGCGCUCGACUCCAUUCACAGACCAGAGGUGAGCGUCGCUCUUUUUGGAAAAUGAACUUUCGGCAGCAGGUGAGGUUUGUUGUCCAUCACUUGAGAUGAAAUGAAGCAGAAGAGAUUGUUUUUAGACUUGUUUUCGACGUGUCUGUCGACCUUCGCGGUGCAAACAUAACAGGAGUGCUAUUGAUUUUUGCCAGCAGGAAAUCACUUUGUUGAGGAUGUGUGGUAUCCGGAAACAUGGUGUCUAUCUCCGAGGCAUUUUGUGGCGUAGCGCACCAAGAUAAGUCAUCUGCUCUCUUCAAGUUGUGGUACUUUAAAAGGGUGAUUUCAAACACUUUAUUCUGUUUGAUUUUUUCCUGAGGUACACAUAGCUAGUCGUGUUUUUUACCAAAACAAAACAAGUGAAAAAAUUCAUUUCCUCCAGCCUAAUUAGAUCUACAGCUAUUUCGGCAGCAAAUAAAUCUGGAAUCUAAAUGUGAAAUUAUUGCAUUUUUGUUACAUCAGAUAAAAAAAAUCACACUUUUAAAAAGAUCAAAAUUAUCUAGCCAAACAAACUUAUGGUUAACAAACCAACACAAAACAUCUCCUUCCUCUUGUUCUUUCCUUCAGGUGAUGGCUCGUCCAGACGGAUCAUAAGUCUUGUCUCAGCUAAGGUCACCUUUCCUGUCCCGGCGCUGAGAGUCGUCCAAUAACACGCUGCCAGAUUCACAGCGAAACCCUGUCAUUCUGGAUCUCCGAGCCAAUGCGACAGCACGCGUGUGCGUGUGAGCGGCCAGCUGUCAGCGGACGACGCAAAUAUCGGCAUGACCAGAGGAGCCGCCGUGUCCGCUGCAACCCCUGAGUCUGCGUGCCGUGACAGCACCAUGUGGGACAGACCCCAGGGAAGGCAGGAGAUGCACAUGGCAACAGGCCUGGACAAAUCGCCUGGAGGAGUCUGAGUCGUAUACGUGUUGGUGUCAUGACCCGGUGCAGCUUGGACCAGUGCCACUGGAACACACACACACGCAUCACUGAAAACCAUUGUCCUCUCAUAAAUUCCUUUCGCUGUGGGCGACCGAACUGUCCGGCUGCGUUGUCAUCUCCAGCACCCAAAACCUAUUUCGUACAUGUCAUCUGGAUUUGUGGAAGGCUCGGCUAUUCUGUUACAUUAAGGAAUGGGAGAGCUCAGAGCUGACAGCGGUGAGGUCUGUACCUGACAGUAGAGACGCUCUCAUAAAGGUUGAAAUUUUCAUGUGGUGCUGGGAUGUGAAUAUGGAUGUUGAGAAUCAGGGCUGGAUUGGUAAUCGGGCACACCGGGCAUUUGCUCCCAGUGGGCAGUGGGCCGGAACGGCAAUGAACGAAGGGUGGACCCCCAGAACGCGGAAUGCAGUUGCGGACGGUCCGGAACGUAACUGCAGACAGAAGCAGGCGCGAAGGAGCCGGAAAACCCGGAACGCAAUCACGUACGGACCAAACCGAUGAACCGCUUGACUAAGAAGUCCAGGACUGCAUUUUAAAUGAACAUUUAUGCAUUUGGCAGACGCUUUUAUCCAAAGCAACUUACAUUGUUUCUAUACAACUUAAAUGUACUAUACAUUUGUUUCUGACUAUGUGCAAUCCCCUGGGAUCGAACCCAUGACCUUGGCGUUGCUAGCUCCAUGCUCUAACCACUGAGCCACAGGAAAGCAAACUUUUUGGUCCCUAUCCGGGCCUGUGGAGAUUUACAAGUGUUUCUGAAGUUCGUCAUUUUGUACAAUGUAAGAAUAGCUUUGCGUAAAUCUUUCUAAGACAUGGCACAUAUGCCUCUUACAGUUUGAAGAAGAGAUCGGUAACACUUCACUUAAAGCAUAUAAGUGUAAUGCUUUAUAAAAGUAGUUUUAAUGUAUUAAUUAUGCCUUGUGAUGCACAUAUUCUCAUGAAUAAUUGUACCAACAGUUAAAGGCGGGGUGUCCGAUUUCUCUUAGCAGUUGUUGAUGUUCAAAUCACCAAACAAACACACCCCUACCCCUAUCUUACGCUUUCGUCAGCGCUCGACUGGACUAAUGUCCGUCCUGUGCACUGUGCACCUUACUGCUGAUUGGCUACAAGGUUGUUGUGGUACUCGGCCCGACUUUGUCUAAACAAGCGAAAUUCGGAAAUUGGUUACCCCACCUUUAAUACAUUAUUAUAACAUCAAUUCAUUGUUAUACUUUGCAUUUUUAUAUGGUUAUAAUUCUUUCCAACAACAACAUUUAAUGUAUUACAACACACAAUAUGAACAAUUAUAAUGCAUCAUUCCCUUUAAUAACCCUUCCAAGAGAGUGUUACCCUGAGCUCAGAGUUUCCAAGAAUCCAAAGUCUGUAAUCGAAGAGAUUUCAGAGACGAACUCAGAUAUUUCCCAUUUACUUUCAUAAAUACUGGAUUUUCGUAAAUAUCCAUAAUCAUUUUCCAGUGCUACAUGUAUUGUACUGUAUGUCAACAACUGACUGAUUUAUUUUCUUUAUUUAAGGACAUUUUAGUAGAAACAUGUCUAUAUUUCUAUUAAACAAAGAAGAAU